CCAACGUCGAUCUCGCCCUCAGUCUCUGCCAGAGAAAAGGGGGAAACCGCUAAGGACGGAUGGGGCGUGCCCCCCGGGGCCUGACUCAGAGCCUGGUCUGUAGCAUUUGGUGAAUGGUGGGUGUAAAGGCAGAAGUCGGGAGAGAAGAGCACGACUGACGGUGGCGACACUGGUCCCAAGGGAGGGUCUGUGUGUCGGAAAUAUGAAGAAAUGAGACUGCAGAGAGGCCAACUUUUUAGGGACGCUGAGGAUUUGGGACAAAAUAUAAUUAUAGCUCACAGUUCUGAAGGGCCGAUUGUAUUCUUAGCAGUUCACCUGAACUAUCCUCACAACCCUAUGGUGUUGUUGAAGUGAUCAAAUUAAAUAAUCAUGGAGUGCUUCUGAUGUCUCAGAGGUAUUUCUUUUGAGAAAUGCCAAGAAGGUACGAAUCAAGGCCCCUGCCUUACAAAUUUUGGGGGAGGGUGAGUCAGGUAGAAAUCCACCAACAUUGACAAGUACUUGGAGCCUGCCCUAACCCUGCCCUCCUCUCCUGCCCUCCCCCUCUGCUUAAUUCCCUCUACAACCCUGUGAGGUUGGCCUUCAGCUUUUUGUUUUGCAAGUGAGGAACCUAGAUUGAUGGAGUGGGGAUUGAAGGAUAAAAUUCUGAACGCUUCCGUGUGCUUUCUUCCUCUCUCCCACUCUGCCUCUGUUUCACACAACAAAAAGCUUUCAGUAACAGUUCAGCACAUUAGAAGACAGUAUGGAAUCUAUAGCCAAGUACUGCUUAUAAGCAGUAAUCGCUUUUUACCUUUGAUAAAUGCAGAGAAGGAAGGCUCUUCAGGUGUUUCAGGUAGUCAGGAUUUAGAACAGCAGUGCUUCAGGACUGUUAGGGUAGUAGCAGCGUUCAGGGUAGAUGGCAGGAGAGUUGAAUUAGGGAGACAAACUAGGACUGGUUCAGAGGUGAACUAUCAAGACCAGAACAAUGGAAUGUAGUGGUAAGUAGUAGAAUAAGAUGAUUCCCAGGAAACCUCAAAAGAAGGCUUAUAGAGGAGCAUAGUGUGGUAGAUUAACGAUAUGGACCCAGGAUCAGAUCUGAAUUCCAACUUUGAUACUUGGCACUUAACUAGCUCUUUGUCCCUAGGCAAAUCAUUUUACCUCUCUGACCCUCCCUCAUUCUCUGCUCUGUAAAACAAGGACAGUACCUUCCCCAUAGAGUUGUUAUGAUAAUAAAGUCAGUAUUUACUUUAGUGUCUGGCAUAUAGUAAGAACUAAAUAAAUGUAUAACCACGGAAAACCGUGAAAUUGAAUCCUAAAGAUUAACUCUAAAGGUCCCUCACUUGGUCCUAACAGUGUAGUCACAGGAUCAUACUUAGUGUUGUAUUGUACUUUUGUAUUUCUUUUCUUGAAGCUGUCCACCAAAAUUAUAUAUACCUCAAGCCCCAUAAAAUCUGGAUCUGCUCCUAGUAGGAUCUGUAGUGUUGUGAAAGAACAUAGGCUUUGGAAUCAGACUUGUUCCCAUAACUUAUUAUCCCUGUUACUUUAGGCAGUUAAUUCACUGACCUAUUCUGGUCUCAGUUUUCUUACCAGAUAAGUUGAAGGUAAUAUCUACCAGCCUGAGCUGUUGUGAGUCAAAUAAGAUAGGAUUCACAAAAGCAGUGAAACUUGGAAAGUGCUCUACAAAUGUUUAUGAAUUAAUAUUGGUAUAAUUUGUCCAUAAAGUGUUUAAGAGGCAAAGAUCAGAAGCAUCCCCAAGGUGGGACUUCCCUGGCUGUCCAGUGGUUAAGACUCUGCACUUCCAAUGCAGGGGACGCAGGUUCGAUCCCUGGUUGGGGAGCGAAGGUCCCACAUGCUGCGCGGCCAAAAAAUAAAUAAAGGAAACAAAGUAAAAAAAAAAAAGCAACUCCUGGGUUCUUAGCUGAAAAAGUAGAAACGGCGUGGGUGAGCUGGCAAAAAUAAUGAAAUGACACAGGUAAAAUUUUUACUUUUCUGCCAGGUUUUCUUCCUGAUUAAUCCAUGAGGCACUGAAGAGGUAAACUAGUAAGCAUAAGAUCAGAAAUUUAGAUCUGAGAGGAGGUUGAAGAUCAUCUAGCAUAACCCCCUACAUUUUACAGAAAGCGAAAUUAAGGUCUAGGGAAGCUAAAAGACUUUUCUAAGGCCACCCAUCUAAUAAAUGGCAUGCUCAGAAGAACCAGAUCUCUAGGCUCCAGGUUCUUACAGUUCCAAGCAAUCUUUAAGAUAAAAGCAUUUCAUCAUGGGGUCUUUCAAAAUCAGAGAAGGUAUGGUACUCUCUAGUGGCUUUUGGCUUCAUCACAAAAUUUUCUAGGUACACUUUUCUGUUUUAAAGGUUGAUAGACUGUUUGCAAGCUUGUUAGUAAGUGAGCAAAACUUCUGAAGAUUUCAAGGUAAGAGUUAUAACUUCAGAAAUUAGUAAUGAGAUGAGACAAGCAAAUGCAAAAUUUGCAAGUUCAUAACAACUAGUUACUAUUCAAGUUGAGAAAGUUACUCAAUUGCUUUAUCUGAAAAAGGAGAAUAAUAAAAUUACCGUGUAUUUUCUCUGGAAUUCAACUGCAUACUUCAUUUACAUUCCCCCAGUUAUUCCAUCAUUUCUGUGACGUAGGAAAUAGCAGGAAAGGAUUCUUUUAAAACACAAUAAUACUUAAUAGAUUAAGAACAUUCCCCCCAUUUAACAUUUAUAGCAAUUUAAUUGGGAAUGUGGAAAAUGAAAUUUUCAGAACAGUCUAUAUGGGGAACAAGUGACAAGAAUAUUCCUUUUUGACCUAUUUAUCCUCUAAUUCAGUUUGUUUUCAGCCAAACUGCAUAAGGCUCUCCUUAUGGCAGUCCAGUUCCCAUACCCUUAUUCCAUUCAGUGGUCUGAUAUGGCUUUUGUCUCCUGCUUCUUGUCUCUGCCAUCACAGUCUAGUUUUGGCCUAUGCUGUUUGUAUCCUACAUCACUGUUUAGGACCUUUCCUAGCAAGCAUUCCUUUUAGGCAUGGUCCUACAUAUUUGCCAGCCUGUCUACUUCCUUGACCCUGGCUAACCCUGAGCUCUCCCCUUCUUUUUUUCCUCUCUCCUGUCUCUUCCUUUCUUCCUUCCUUCUUCCUUCCCUUUCUGUCUUUAGUUUUCUAGACAGGUGGGCUGAGGGUGGGGGAAUAACAAUAACAAUAAAUUGAUGAUGGCUAAGAUUUAGGGAAUAUUUAGUAUAUGCCAGGCAUCGAUCUAAGCUUUUUACACAUAUUAACUCAUUGACUCCUCAUAAAAAUGCUAUGGACUAGGUACUAUUUUUUUUUAUUAUUUUUAAAAAUAUUUAUUUGGCUGUGCCAGGUCUUAGUUGUGGCACAUGGGAUAUUUUAGUUGCGGCAUGCGGGAUCUUUAGUUGCGGCAUGGGGGAUCUGGUUCCCUGACCAGGGAUCAAACCCGGGCCGCCUGCAUUGGGAGUGCAGUCUUAGCCACUGGACCACCAGGGAAGUCUCUGUACUAGGUACUAGUAUAAUCCCUAUUUUACAGACAGAUACAGAGGUAACAUACAGAGAUGUUAAGUAACUGGCCCAAAGUCACAUAAUCAGCAUUGUCUGGAAUUAACAGGAAGUAGUCAUUAUUUAGUUUUCAGUAUGAAAAGAGUAGAAAUUGUCAUUUGUAACUGAUAAUACCAUAGGAGACUAAUCAAUAGACUUUGAAGGCCGUUCUAGGUUGCUUCUAUCCCUGGUAAAGCUAAACAGUCAUUACAAAAACUGUUGGCCAGGGCUUCCCUGGUGACGCAGUGGUUAAGAAUCCACCUGCCAAUGCAGGAGACACGGGUUCGAGCCCUGGUUCGGGAAGAUCCCACAUGCCACGGAGCAACUAAGCCUGUGUGCCACAAUUACUGAGCCCGCGUGCCUAGAGCCCAUGCUCCGCAACAAGAGAAGCCACCACAAUGAGAAGCCCGCGCAUCACAACAAAGAGUAGCCCCCGCUCGCCGCAACUAGAGAAAGCCCGCGCGCAGAAACGAAGACCCAAUGCAGCCAAAAAAACAAAACAAAACAAAACUCUUGGCCAUGGAAGCUGCCUUUGAAACUAGAGAGUUCAAAAGGAACUACCCCCUGCUUAUCUGAAUCAGGGUAGUUGUGAACCUCUGGGCAGCUAAAUUGGGGUGGAGAUGUUGGGAUAUCUUUUUCAACAGCUAAAUUUUAAGAUCACCUGUAUUCCAGGAAGUUCUGGGUGUCCUGGCACCCACAUUCCACACUGUGAGAUCUUUCAGCAUGAGAACUUGGACCUUAUGGCCCUCACCCAACAGCAGCAGCAGGCAGUUGGAACUCCUUGAACAGCUGUACCUCAAACCUGGUGUGACUCGGAAGAGGGGUGCAUGCAGCGAAGGAAGCCUCUUAGAUCAUAAUGACUAACAUUAUGUAUCCACUUGGGGAGUCAGGCCUGGGUGUUCUAACUGGACCUUGAUACUGCUGCACUGGUGUACAAGAUGAGGCUUGGAUAAAGCACAGAAAUCAAUCUGUGGUGACCUCUGAGAACCCUGAAUCUGCCACAGUGCCCUGCACCAUACAGCACCUGUGACACCUGUGCCCAGGUGAGGUCCAGGGCUGUCAACCUCACUUCUGAGCUGUGUAUUAAUAGAGUGAAGCCUCUCUCCACCCGCUUUCCUUUUGCACAAAUCAUGAGUUCAGAUGUCAUGCCUAUUGUAUUUUACCCUGACAGCCUUAUUUUUUGUGGUCAUAGAAUAAGGCCAUACCCCUCUGGGUAGGGUGUAAAGAUUUCCCUAAAUAAAGUAAAUGUUCUCAUCAUCGAUCAUUCAAAGAAGAAGAGAAUUCUCACACAGGAAUACUUGCAGCAUGGAACAGGCAAGAUGGCACUUCUGGAUUUACUUUCUUAGGGUUUGGACUUAGAGGAGGUAAGAAAUGUUGAGGGCCCUCCUCACUGAUUCUGGGGAAAUGGCCUCUGCCACAGAGCUGCCUAGUAGGAACCAGGCAAAGAGGUUUUCCUGGAGACCCAAAAAUGAAGCCACAUCACCAGGAACCAGAAUCUGGAGAAGUUACAUGCCAGCAACAACAGGAAGCACAAAGCCAUAAACUGCAAACAGGCAACAAACAUCAGGGCAACCAUCCAUGUAGAAGAUUAGGUAUGCCUUUCAUGUUGCAUCAGGCCAAAACAAUAAUAAUGAAAUAAUGGGUUUUUUACUCCUGUUUCCAAUGAAAAGAUAAUUUAAUCUUGGAGCCUUCCAACUUCAUAUGUAUCCCCUCUGGUUUGCUAGUCAUUGCAUUUACCAACCCAGGUGAGACCACAUCAUGCAUGAAACACAGCCCAAAUAUGCUUCAACCAUAACAUGGGAAUAUAUAAUGCAGACUAUGUUGAUUACCAAGCCCACUUACAGAAUCCAAUGGGAUGAGUGAGGUAUGGACACCAGGACUUACCAGAGGAGUUCUUUGUUGCUGCAACCAUGCUUCUUAACAAAGACCUUCCACCAAGAAUCUAGGAAAAUCCCAUCCCAUUCCCCCAAACUUAUAGGUAUGUUAUUAAGCUAUUCUUAUGCUUAGUCAUAAAGUGGGUAUUUUUUAGCUUAUAAUUACUAAAAGGCUGAGAUUUAAACCUAGGUCUCAUAGCUUGUGCUCCUAAAUGCUGGACGAUUUUCAUUUAUCUAAAACUCUGAGGUCAUAGGGAGGGAUGGGGAUGAGGAGGAUAAGAGGCAGGAAAUAGAUGGCUGUUUUAUAGUCCCAACCCUGAGCCUUAGCCUUACAUGCUGUUUCUUCAGAGAAAGCACUUCCUCCGUGUACCAGGUGAACUGUAUACAGAAUAACAUGGAGGUGAAAGAGAAGCAGACAGACUAACAAGGGAGUAGUUUUAGUAAUUCUGUUAUAUAAUUCAAACCUCUUUGUAAUCCAGUUUAGCUGCCCCACUAAUUAAUGUGAAUUAAUAAGUUUCAUAAUUAUCAUAUUUAUUCACCAGGUUCUUUCUACAUAAUUACUGUUUACACUUUAAUAAAUUGCUUAGGAAGGCCACCUCCAAAUCCAAAUUAAAUGUAGUGUGUUUCAUUUCCUAUUUCCUUCCUGUGGGCACAUGAUUAUUUUGGAAAAAGCUUUCGCUUGAUAAUUAAAUUCCAUAUCUCGCUCUCUCUAUAACAUUACAUAUUCAUAAGCCUUGCCAAUCCAAGGGAAGGGCGCUUCUAGGCUGUUAGUGGAUCUCCUGAAGUUUUAAGGACUUCAAGCAAAAAUGGAUGCAGUCUUUGUACUUUAAAAUUCAGGCUUUCCGGGGGAUUCCUUGGUGGUGCAGUGGUUGAGAAUCUGCCUGCCAAUGCAGGGGACACGGGUUCGAGCCCUGUUCUGGGAAUAUCCCACAUGCCGUGGAGCAACUAGGCCCGUGAGCCACAACUACUGAGCCUGCGCAUCUGGAGCCUGUGCUCUGCAACAAGAGAGGCCGCGAUAGUGAGAGGCCCGCGCACCGCGAUGAAGAGUGGCCCCCGCUUGCCACAACUAGAGAAAGCCCUCGCACAGAAACGAAGACCCAACACAGCAAAAAUAAAUAAAUAAAUAAAUUUAAAAAUUGAGGAGGUCCGAGGUCCCCUUUAAAAAAAAAAAAAAAAAUUCAGGCAUUCCAAACUUCUAAUGUGUUGUCAGCUAACAAGAAUGCAAAAGUCAUAGAAUUCAGAAAAUAUCUUAAGAGUAUUAGAUAGCCAUAUAAACAUUUUAUGAUCUAAUUUAUACAUUUUUCAUAUAGAAAGCUUUUCCUCAGGUCAGCAAAGCAAAUUAAGUUUCUCCUUUAUUUUCACGUGAGGGGAGAAAGCUGGGGAGAGAGAAGGAAAGGUAAUGUUUUUAAGGUAGAUUAAAAAGGCCUAAUGCCCCAAGAAUUUUCUAUCUAUGUAUUGGAGGGACAUUUAAAUUCUGUGUUAGCAUUUGGUAUGACUUUCUGUCAACUUGGAAAGUUAACCUUUCUAGGACAGUCUCUACUAGAAAUUGGGACUUCCUCUUCAAAAAGAUUUUUGCUUACUUCUUUUUUUUUUUUUUUUUUUUUUUGCUGUACGCGGGCCUCUCACUGCUGUGGCCUCUCCCAUUGCGGAGCAGCACAGGCUCCGGACGCGCAGGCCCAGCGGCCAUGGCCCACGGGCCCAGCCGCUCUGUGGCACGUGGGACACUCCCGGACCGGGGCACGAACCCGUGUCCCCUGCAUCGGCAGGCGGACCCCCAACCACUGCACCACCAGGGAAGCCCCCGCUUACUUCUUUUUAAAGAGAUUGCAAGAUAAUUUUAACUCACUGAAGAACAUUUUCCACCUCUUGAUUAUCCAAUAUAGCUAUAGUACAGUUCCUUUUAUCCUUCCUCUCUUUGUCUUUUAGACUGGAAGGUAUCAAAAGGUAAAAGGUGUUCAGAAAUGGAGGCAAACAUAGAUGAAGCCUAAAGACAUUCCCUCGUAUCCAGGUCUCUAGCAGCCUUCCUCCUGGCCUCUUCCUCUUGGCAUUCUAUCCUUAUCAGGAAAAAAAAAAAAAUUACUCUGUAGGCCCCCACUCAAGGACCUGACUUCCCUGGGAAUUUUUAUUCUUAUGUUCAGAAUACAUAUAGAGUUUGAUUCAGUUAAGUUUUAUUACACGGGGACUUGCCUGGUGGCACAGUGGUUAAGAAUCUGCUGCCAAUGCAGGGGACAUGGGUUUGAGCGCUGGUCCAGGAAGAUCCCACAGCCGCGGAGCAACUUAGGCCCAUGUGCCACAACUACUGAGCCUGUGCUCUCGAGCCCACAAGCCACAACUACUGAGCCUGCGCGCCACAACUACUGAAGCCUGUGCGCCUAGAGCCCAUGCUCCACAAGAGAAGCCACCACAAUGAGAAGGCCAUGCACCGCAAUGAAGAGUAGCCCCCACUAGCCACAACUAGAGAAAGCCUGUGCGCAGCAACAAAGACCCAAUGCAGCCAAAAGUUUAAAAAUUAAUAAAAAAAUUUAUAUUAAAAAAAGACCAGGGGCUUCCCUGGUGGCGCAGU